UCCAGACUCCUACGGGAGGCAGCAGUGAGGAAUAUUGGUCAAUGGCCGAGAGGCUGAACCAGCCAAGUCGCGUGAGGGAUGACGGCCCUACGGGUUGUAAACCUCUUUUGUCGGGGAGCAAAGAGAGUCACGUGUGGCUCAUUGAGAGUACCCGAAGAAAAAGCAUCGGCUAACUCCGUGCCAGCAGCCGCGGUAAUACGGAGGAUGCGAGCGUUAUCCGGAUUUAUUGGGUUUAAAGGGUGCGCAGGCGGAGGUGCAAGUCAGUGGUCAAAUUGCGGGGCUCAACCCCGUACUGCCGUUGAAACUGGGGGCCUUGAGUGGGCGAGAAGAAGGCGGAAUGCGUGGUGUAGCGGUGAAAUGCUUAGAUAUUGCGCAGAACUCCGAUUGCGAAGGCAGCAUACCGGCGGCGAUCUGACGCUGAGGCACGAAAGCGUGGGUAUCGAACAGGAUUAGAUACCCGGGUA
rnacentral:rRNA from 1 species